GGUUUCCUUUCCUCUUCAUCCAGGGCUGGAAACAAAGAUCAGCCCUUGAGGAUCAUCAAUUGACAGCCACAAGAUGGGCAGCUGUUUUCCUACCUUUUGUAGUA
rnacentral:scRNA from 1 species